GCCAGGCGUGGUGGCGUGCACCUGUAAUCCCAGCUACUUGGGAGGCUGAGGCAGGAGAAUGGCUUGAACCCAGGAGGCAGAGGUUGCAGUGAGCCAAGAUCAUGCCACUGUACUCCAGCCUGGGUGACAGAGUGAGAUUCUGUCUCAA
ensembl:misc_RNA Metazoa_SRP Metazoan signal recognition particle RNA